CUUUUAUUAUGUUGGUGUAUAUCUGGUUUGAUAUUAUUGCUUAAUAGCUUAAUUUGUGUAUAUAAAUUUAAGCCAAGUCUAUGUGCUGCAUGUAAAAGUUUUCAUGCGUUACAUUUAUAAUCAUUAAAAUUUAUUAGUAGAAAGUUGAUUGAGGACUUAAAAGUAAUAUAGAAUAAAGUUGUCUAUGUGAAAAGGGUUUAGCUUGGGUACACACCGCCCGUCACACA
rnacentral:rRNA from 1 species